rnacentral:rRNA from 1 species
GACGAACGCUGGCGGCGUGCUUAACACAUGCAAGUCGAACGGAAAGGCCCUGCUUUUGUGGGGUGCUCGAGUGGCGAACGGGUGAGUAACACGUGAGUAACCUGCCCUUGACUUUGGGAUAACUUCAGGAAACUGGGGCUAAUACCGGAUAGGAGCUCCUGCUGCAUGGUGGGGGUUGGAAAGUUUCGGCGGUUGGGGAUGGACUCGCGGCUUAUCAGCUUGUUGGUGGGGUAGUGGCUUACCAAGGCUUUGACGGGUAGCCGGCCUGAGAGGGUGACCGGCCACAGUGGGACUGAGAUACGGCCCAGACUCCUACGGGAGGCAGCAGUGGGGAAUAUUGCACAAUGGGCGGAAGCCUGAUGCAGCAACGCCGCGUGCGGGAUGACGGCCUUCGGGUUGUAAACCGCUUUCGCCUGUGACGAAGCGUGAGUGACGGUAAUGGGUAAAGAAGCACCGACUAACUACGUG